CCCCCACCCAUCUCUCUCUUACUGUCGUGUUAUAACUUCUGUCUAAUCACCUCCUUCCCCCUUCGCUUUUCUCCUACUCUCUCUCUUUCUCCCGAUCUCACUCGCGCACCACCAUUUCUCUUCCCCCAUCUCCGUCUGAUCAAUUGCGUAAUCUGUAAUUGUAUCAAGUUGGCCGCUGUUUUCAACCUGCUACGUUCGUAGCUGCAUUUUCGAUGAAAAAUUUUUUUCCCCUUUCACACACAACCUGUCCUUCGCAUCAGUUUUAAUUAUUUUAUUUUUUAAAAUUUUAUUUACACGUAAGUUAAAAAAACAACUAAACAAACAAACGUAGAAAAGAAACUAUUACACAUGCCUCAACACAUGUUCUUUUUACUACACCAAUUAUAAAUUUAUCACUUUUAAGUUCGAUUGUAAUUCCGUUCGAUCUUGUUUCCUGUUUCUAACCAGUUUUAAUUUGGCAUUACUGUUUUGUUCGGACAACCAGUCCCCCUUUUCUUGCACACAGUAAAAAAAAAUUAAGAAACAGAACAGAUAUAACAAGUGUUAAAAGUUAAAACUCGGAAUAACCAUUUUUUUUAUUUACUUGUUUUCAAGUCGAUCUAUUUCUUACCUCUUUCUCUCUCUUUCACACACACACAAAAAAAAAAGUGAGGGGUUCCGGAGUGUCUAUUAUACAACGAAUAUCUGCUUGACUGAUUUAUUUUCUAUCGUUGUUAUCGUUGUUGCCUCUUCGUUGAUUGUUUUCUUUUCUAAAGAAGGUGGGGAAAAGUCUGGAAGAAGAAAAGGAACAAACAACUACAAGGCUACAUAAAGUUAAAAUAAUAACGAUGAUGUCACAUACACACGCGCACUGUGCUGCUAGAACAAUCGAUACCAAUAUGAUUUCUGUCCGCAGAUUUUGCAGCUGGUGGGUUAGUGGGAAAGAAAACAAAUUACUGGACAAAACGAACAAAAAAGAAAGAAAAAAAAAUGUUGUUGAAAACAUAAAGAAAGAAAAUAACUGGACAUAAAUUUUUGAAAAUUUUGCGAAAAAGCCAAAGUUGAAGUCUUUUGGAGAUUUUAAGUAAAUCUAGUUUUGCAAUAUGUCCAAAGAAAAUUUUAAAAAAAUUCUACUAUUUGGACUUCACAGGUCAGGUAAGCUGUGUUGUAAUUUGAAAAAAAGAAAGAAAAUCUGUGUGUUUGUAGUUGUUAGGGGUUUAUUAAAAUAAUUGUUCGUCAGCCUUAGAUACUUUUAACCUCCUCGUACUGCUUCGCUCUAUCUACCCCUAUCGUUUAAUCCAGGGGUGGGGUAUCUCUCGCUCGUGGGCACUAUUUUUGCCUUCAUUAUAAGUUGAAAUAGCCUCUUGUCAGUAUCUCUGAAACCCAUAAAAAAGGCGGUUUACGGGUGAAAAUUAAAAACAGUAAUUUAAUAUUUGUUACAUAACCUAUGAAUUUAUAAUAUUAAAUAUGCGCGCCGACAAGUUCUUAUGCACUUGCAGGUUCAUCUCCUGACACUGAGGUACCCCCACUCCCUAACGCAUCUAAUUCAGUGCAUCGUACUUUUUCUUUUUUCAUCCUCCCACCCCGCCUUGUGUCUUUGAGUUGGGGGCGGGAUAACAACCGUUUAAUGAGAGGAAAAGUGGUUCAUCUUUGUCGCUUAGAGUGAUUCUGUGUAAUGGUUCUGGCUGGCUUGGGUGUAGACACUUUUAUGUUGUGAGCGAAGAAAUCUUUUUCUCCCUUACCCCUCUUUCUCUUUCUAACACCUUUCUCAUCUUUUUCUCCUCCUUCUCUUUGUUCUUCCUUACCCGUGUUAGUGUGGCGAAGUAAAAAUAAAAACGUUACGUAAAAAGAGUGUGUGUGGAAAAAAGGAAAAGAAAACAAAAAACAACCCCACAACGCAGUACAAAAUAACUUCUCAAAACAGUUACAACUAUCACCAUAACUAGAGUUCUUCCGUUUUAACCACCUAGCGAGGUCAAACAAUUUAAUAAUGGACUCGUGCUUGGAUGUCAUUGCUUGUUUUUCGGUAAUUUCUUUGAUGACAAUUUUUUAAAAAAGUAGUUUGAAAUAAUAUUUAAAUAGUUGGAUUCUUCUUUUUUUUUUUUUUUGUAAUGUAGGUUUGUGUAUGUUAUGCUACUAAUAUCUGUUUAGUGUCUUUGGAAAAGACCGAAUGAAUGUCGCAACUUGGCUGCUUCCUUUUCGUCACAAAAACUCAUCAGUGGAAAAGUCUAUCGUUAUGCUGUAUGUGUGUGUGUGUGUGUGUGUGAGAUAGUGGUAUGGACUUUUUUGUCUUCAACGCCGAGAUUGCACUAUAAUCAAGUCUUUAUUUCGGUUUAAGAUGAAGCUGAAUAUUACACUACACGAAUUUGCUGCCCACUCUGACAACCAUACAAGACUGGAAGGUGGAGAAUGGAAAAAUUUUUGUUGCAUAAUGCAAAGCAACACUAACACUCAUUCACACAUUCGCACAAUAUUCAACACAUAAACACACUCCCACUAAUGCAAUUCUCCUAACACUAACGUACUCACCCACACACUGAUGCACUCACCCACACAAGCUCAUGAACGCGGGCACCCACAUAUUCUAACGCAUUCUCCCAUAUUAAUGUACGCGGGCACGCACCCACACUAUCGCAAGCACACUCAUACUCUAUCGCACUCUCCCACAUAUGUUAAUGCACGUGGGUACUCACAUACAUACUCAUUCCUUCACACACACAUGCAUUCAGCUCACCUCCUAACGCGAUUACCCACUCACAUUAAAUUGCUCACCCACGUACUCUAAUGCACUUACCCACACUCAAACGCACUUACACAUUCACUCAUACAUGUGUAACAUUCUUGCAUUCACUGUCACACUUGUACUCUUUCACAUACACUAAUAACACACUUAUAUUCGCUAACAUAUUAACACUCAAUCACUAACAGUCACUCAUAGUAACAUAAUGCCCUAACUCACCCAUAUUAGCUCAUUUGCAUUCAUUCAUUCUCUGACACUAGCAUGCAUUCAUGCACACUCUCUCAUAUAGAUAUGCUUUCACAAAUACUCAUAUACUUACUCUCUCACUCUCACACACACCUGCAAUUGGAAAUAUACUCAAUGAUACAUUCAUACAUGCUAGUAUAUUCACACACUAACUCAUUUACACUCAGUCACACACUUCUUCCUCUAUUUUACACAUAUCUCUUGCAUGUGUGUAGCCUCUCUAUUCUACUCCAAGCCAUUUUGAGUAGGACCAGAACAUGGAGGAUGGAAAGAAAAGGGAAGCCAAAAUGAAAAUCAGACGUUGGGAUGAAACCUCUCAAAGCUCUCAACUGAAAAGUUCAGUGCAUACCUUUCCAAAGUAUUAAAAUGAUAACUGAUAUUGUCUUUUAGAAUAAUUCUAUUGAAAGGAAGCUGAGAUCUGGUCAAAUUAAUCUUUUCAAUGUGGAGGUAUUUCAGAUCUGAAAUGUUGGUUUAUUAUGCAAUGAUAUUGAUUUUUGACAUAAGUACAAGGCCUCAGUUUUAUGAUAGGACAUAGUCGAUCAUAUUGCCAAGUUUCAAUUAGUACUUAUUUUUGUGCCCUUCCCGCUUGCUCCACAAAGGCAGGAUCCAACAUAAGGAGACAUACUGUACAAAUUCUGCCAAUCCACUGUCUUUCAUAGUGUGAUUGAAUGAGGUAGCAUAAACUUGCAAUUGAAAUCAUAUGGGAAUUAAGAUAAUUCUUGUCCUAAGUGCUUCCCUGUAUGAUGGAGGCAAUGCCAGAAGCAGAUUUCUUUGCAGCAAGCAUUAUUUUGAGUUAUGACUUGAAGAAAUCUAUAUUUUUGAGAGAGUGUUCCCUCUAUGUUGUAAAACAAUAUUAUGGCUGUCUCUAGAACAUUAUCACAAUCUUUAUCAACACAGAUAUUUACCUAUAUUCAGUU
rnacentral:lncRNA from 1 species